AGCUGUGAAUGGGGCAGCAUUGUUUUUAAGCUGUCCUAUAAGAUCUGAUAUGGCUGGAUGGGUGAAUAUAUUACCUAUGCUAUGCCUAUCCACGUCUAUCAAAGAUAUGACAGGGAGUAAAUCAGGACAGUUGGGAGUGAAGUGAACAUCUUUCUGGAACAAGACACAGCCCUACAGCUCUGUUGAGGGACCUGCAAUUACAGUCUUGUCCCAUCGCUGCAACUCCCGUACGGACUCUGGAGAGGCAAACGUAGAGAGCCACACGUCCUCCGAAACACAGGCCUGCACAACCCUGCCACUGCUUCUUAACACACUGCUCGCUUAACCCGGAAGCCAGGUGCACCAAUGUGUCGGAGGAAACUCUGUACAGCUGUUGACAGAAGUCCGCGUGCAUAUGCCCGGCCCACCACAAGAAGUCGCUAGAGUGUGAAGGGACAAGAACAUCGCUGCCGGCCAAACCCUCCCCUAAACCAGAAGACGCAGGGCCAAUUGUGCGCCGCCUCAUGGGUCCCCCGGUCGC